UACAGAGGUCUCAAGCGUUUGUUCGGAUUCAUUGGGCGUAAAGGGUGCGUAGGCGGCGCGGUAAGUCGGGUGUGAAAUCUCGGGGCUUAACUCCGAAACUGCAUUCGAUACUGCCGUGCUUGAGGACUGGAGAGGAGACUGGAAUUUACGGUGUAGCGGUGAAAUGCGUAGAUAUCGUAAGGAAGACCAGUGGCGAAGGCGGGUCUCUGGACAGUUCCUGACGCUGAGGCACGAAGGCCAGGGGAGCAAACGGG
rnacentral:rRNA from 1 species